rnacentral:rRNA from 1 species
UUCGCAAUGCCCGAAAGGGUGACGAAGCGACGCCGCGUGCGGGAAGAAGGCCUUCGGGUUGUAAACCGCUGUCGGGAGUUAAGAAAUGCAAGGAUAUUAAUAGUGUCUUUGCUUGACUAAGGCUCCGGAGGAAGCCACGGCUAACUCUGUGCCAGCAGCCGCGGUAAUACAGAGGCGGCAAGCGUUGUUCGGAAUUAUUGGGCGUAAAGAGCACGUAGGCGGCUGUAUAAGUCGGUUGUGAAAGCCUUCCGCUCAACGGGAGAACAGCAUCCGAUACUGUAUGGCUUGAGUGUGGGAGGGGAGAGCGGAACUUCUGGUGGAGCGGUGAAAUGCGUAGAUAUCAGAAGGAACGCCGGCGGCGAAAGCGGCUCUCUGGCCCAUAACUGACGCUGAGUGUGCGAAAGCUAGGGGAGCAAACGGGAUUAGAUACCCCGGUAGUCCUAGCCGUAAACGAUGGGCACUAAGUAGAGGGGUUUUA